rnacentral:rRNA from 1 species
ACGGCGGGUGCUAACGUCCGUCGUGAAGAGGGAAACAACCCAGACCGCCAGCUAAGGUCCCAAAGUCAUGGUUAAGUGGGAAACGAUGUGGGAAGGCCCAGACAGCCAGGAUGUUGGCUUAGAAGCAGCCAUCAUUUAAAGAAAGCGUAAUAGCUCACUGGUCGAGUCGGCCUGCGUGGAAGAUGUAACGGGGCUAAACCAUGCACCGAAGCUGCGGCAGCGACGCUUAUGCGUUGUUGGGUAGGGGAGCGUUCUGUAAGCCUGUGAAGGUGUGCUGUGAGGUAUGCUGGAGGUAUCAGAAGUGCGAAUGCUGACAUAAGUAACGAUAAAGCGGGUGAAAAGCCCGCUCGCCG